GGGACGUCCAGUGCCGUGAGUAUCUGGGUAUUGGGGUCAGAGCUGGAGGCUCAGGGGGGGAGUUCUGGCCCUCGCUGCCUUUGAAGGCUGAGUGGCCAUGCAUAAGCUACUUGACCUCUCUGUUCUUCUUACGUGUCUGGUGGCAGCAGCUGGGCUGUGGAGGAGAAGCAGGCAUGGGUGUGGGGUAAGGAGAGGUCCAAGGGGAGGUCUGAUCCUUUUGGCAUCAGGAAGCCAGGCCUAGCACUGAUCAGUUCUGUGACCACAAGCACAUUGUUUAACCUCUCUGAACCUCAGUAUCCUCAUCUGUAAUCUACUCCAUAUAGUUAUUGCAAGAACUCAAAUGAAACCAACAGAAUGAGCCUCACAGGACGGCUGCCACUGAGCACGCUCAGAAACCCACGGGGCUGCCCUUGGCAUUGCUGUUACUUUCACCAUUACUGACCCUCAUAACAGCCCACAAGCGGGCAGCAAGACCCCCAUCUCCGUUGCACAGACAAGGACUCUCAAACUAGAGCGGGGAAGCGUUUCCCUGGGUCACAGAGUUCCAAAGGACAGGUCACCUAGCCCCCAGGUCAGCUGGCCCUCGGGCUGAGAAUCUGAAGGUCUUUUUUGAUAGCAGAUGUUGGUAGCUGAAGACUUCGUUUAUUUUUGUUUUGUUUUUGUACUGAGGAUUGAACCCAGGGGUGCUCUGCCACUGAGCCCUUUUAUUUAUUGAUUGAUUGAUUUUUGUUUUGAGACAGAGUCUCUCUGAGUUGCUGAAACUGGCCUCCAACAUGUGAACCCUCCUGCCUCAGCCUCCUGACUCACUAGGUCUAUAGGUGUGCACCGCCAUGCCCGGCUAACUAACGGCUGAAUAAUAACCAUACCCACUCUAGGCUAAGUACUUUGUACUCUUUAGUUCCCACGAUGGCCUUCUGAGCAGCCCCCGUCAUUAACCCCACUUUCCAGAUACAGAAAUGGAGGCAGGUGGUCCCUCCGGCCUGGAGUCUGCACGUUCUCCUCCAUCCUGGCCCCUCCCUCCCUGCCCUCCCCAGCUCUCCCUGGAAGGAGGAGACGCUGCAGCCAGCUUGUGGCUCCCGUGGCCCCUCACCACCGUUCCACUCGUCCUCUCCAGCCCUGCGUGUGCACUCAUUCUGCGGCGGUCUCAUCCCUGUCCCCCAGCCCCGGCCACCCGUUCUGUUCAGUGCUCUCCCUCCAGGACCAGCCCUGUGGGUGUGGGGUGGGUGCUCCAUAUUUGUGUAGUGGGUGGGUGACAGUAGGCAAGGACCAAGACACACAGGGAGUCCCAUGGCUUUGGGGGCACCUCCAAGCUGAGCAGGGACUGGGCGGCCUUCCAGGGCCCCUGGACCAGGUCUUGUCUGGGCUUCCCCGGCAGCGGCUCAACGGCCCCCUCCUCCACCCACAGCCCACACGGGGAGCUGGUGCGAGCAGCAGCUGUGUGCCUGUGACAAGGAGGUGGCCUUCUGCCUGAAGAGCAACCUCGACUCCUACAACAAGCUCCUGCGUUUCUACUGGCGGUCCCGCUGCCAGGACCCCACUCCUUCAUGCUAGAAGCCCAACUCGCUUCCCCUGCCAUCCUUCCCCAUCUCAGGGCAUUGCCGUGGUCCCGCCCUGGCAUCUAACCAGCUGGAUUUUAAAACAGUCCAGGGGGAAGGGCCCCUCGCCCUUGCUGGGCCCGACCUCUGGACUCUCCCACCCAAGGCAGUGCCGGCUCCCCUGAGGGUGGGCGGAGGCCAGGGAGCACCCAGGACCAUGAGGUUGGGCCAAAGCAGUCAGGGGAGGGGUGCUGGGGGGUCGAGGCAGCUGUGUGGGCCUGGCUCCCUGCCACUGCCACCCCUGCUGGUCCCUCUCACCUACCCCAAGCCACAGCCUGAGUGGCUGCUGUAAAGCGCAAUGUUGAUCAUCCUGUCCGAGUGACUCUUGAAACCCCCAGGUCCUCCACGGCCCCAGCAUAGAGCCCCUCAGAGCCCGGCCGUCAGGCCCCAUGUCCCUCUUCCCAACUGGGCCCCAGAGAGUCCAGCCCCUCUCCCCAAGCUGCACCCCAGAGCAGCCUCAGAACAGAGCAGGCCUCCACAAACUCUGAGGACAGGGUGGGAGGAGGCCAUGAUGGGAGGAGGCCGCGGCUCUUGUAGCCCCAGGCUCCCUCCUGGAAGCCUGCUGCUUCCUGCCUCUGGCACUUGCUCAGGGUCCUCCUGCAGAAAUGGCCCUGUGGCCCCCUCCUCCUGGAUGGCCUCCCUGGGCCUCUCAGGGAGAAAGGGCUGCUUCCUAGGAGAGUCUUCCUGGCUCAUCUCUCCUCCCUCCAGGGCUCACGGGCACCUCCUGGCUCCCCUGGCCCUGGCUGGGGCUUCCCAUGAGGGGUGAAUGGGACUCCUCCCCGUCCCCAGCCAGACAGGCGCACCUCAAGGACACAGACCACGUCCGCCUCAUCUGUGUUUCCUCGGCUUCCCACGGGCUCCGUGCUCAGUUACUGUUGGGGAUCAGAUGAGCUAAUCAUGAACACUCUGGAGAGGGGCUGGAGAGGAUGUUGGUGUCCCAUCCAGAUCCCUCCCGGACUCAGGACUCCACUCCCAACCAAGCCAGGUAUUGGCUGCAAAGCCCCCACAUCUGCCCUCCUUCUCUUCUUUUCUGGGAGUUUCCUGGCCCUGCACCCCCCCACCCCACACACACCCAAGGAGGCCACCUGUGACUGACCAAAGUUCAACACCCUGGAGGGCACAGCUGCCUGGCCCCCCUGCCUCCAUGCAGGACCAUCUGGGUCAGUGCCCAGAGUUCCUCGGGGGAUCAGGGUGGUAGGAAGCCCCAGAGACUUCUGGAACCACCUCUCCUCCCUGCCUCUUCUGCUGGCCUGGCCUGUUCUCCUGGUUCUCUGCAGCUUUCUCCAGAGACAGCCCUCGGUGAGAAACUUACACAGGAUCCUCAUCUGGGCUCUGCUUCUGGGGAAACACACAUUUAGGCAGAUGGCUUUUUCUUAUAAGGAUCCACAAUCCGUCCUUCGUAUAUGAUGAGCUGUGUGUCCAGCCACGGGGCCAGCUGAGGCACCUGGGGCUCCCCACACUGUGGCCUGUGUCACACACUCGGGCAAUGACCUAUGGUACAGGUUUCCCGAAACUCAGUAGGUCGAGCGAGGCAGUGUGAGAGGAAUUAAAAACUAUAGGCUCUGGGUCCAAAUUAUCAUUCUACGCCCACUCCUGUGAGGGACAGUGAUGGUAGAGGGGACAGGAGGUUGCUAAAUCUCCAUUCUUUCCCACCCAAAUUUGCUGUGAACCCCCCCAAAAAAUCUAUUUUAAAACAUUCCAGUGCUGUCUCUGACUAUCCAUGUGC
rnacentral:lncRNA from 1 species